CACAAUACACUAGAAUAAAGUAUCAUACAUUGUUUUAGUCAAAUUCUACAAACUUUAUCAUUUAAUAUUGUUCGCUCCAAUUACAAGAUAUUUCAUAUAUUCCAAAAUGUGCUUGUCUUCAAAAGUACAACACUUCAUCAUACAUCUCUCAAAAACAUCUUCAUAUCUCCCAAUCCGCGUGCUUCCAAUGUACCAUCAAGUCCAGGGCUGCAAAGUGUAUUCUAUUAGUCCCCUGCUCAAAUAACCCCAGCCCAUUAAGCAUGAAGAAAACGUUAAUAUAACAAUAGAUACUGAAACGGAAUUUGUAAUUCAACCUUUUCACAGACACUGAAAAUUAAGACCACUUCUAUUACAUUAUGUCCCAUAAAUAGCUGGCAAAAUCUUAACAAAAACAGCUCGUCUUCCCAAUCAUACAAAUACUCAAUGGAAAACUUGACAGAAUAGAGUUAUUUUCAGAAACUUUUCCAGUACCUCAAGCAAGUCGUUUGCAAGUAGUCCUGCUCCUUUUCUUCUUUGUAUGAUGGUUAUG
rnacentral:lncRNA from 1 species